CGAAGCUGGAUUCACUAGUAAUCGCGCAUCAGCCACGGCGCGGUGAAUACGUUCCCGGGCCUUGUACACACCGCCCGUCAAGCCAUGGGAGCCGGGGGUACCUGAAGUGCGUAACCGCGAGGAUCGCCCUAGGGUAAACUGGUGACUGGGGCUAAGUCGUAACAAGGUAUC
rnacentral:rRNA from 1 species